AUACGUAGGUGGCAAGCGUUGUCCGGAUUUACUGGGCGUAAAGGAUGCGUAGGCGGAUGUUUAAGUGAGACGUGAAAUACCCGAGCUCAACUUGGGUGCUGCAUUUAAAACUGGAUAUCUAGAGUGCAGGAGAGGAAAGCGGAAUUCCUAGUGUAGCGGUGAAAUGCGUAGAGAUUAGGAAGAACACCAGUGGCGAAGGCGGCUUUCUGGACUGUAACUGACGCUGAGGCAUGAAAGCGUGGGGAGC
rnacentral:rRNA from 1 species